rnacentral:lncRNA from 1 species
AUGCGCAGAGGAAGGAGAUUUUCCAUCCACAGCUACAUCGGUCCUUCUAGCUGUUACAGACUGACCAGUCACACAGCAGGAAAUCGGAACAGUUACAGAAGGCACUUCCCUAGAUAUGGUGGCUUCCAGCACUGGCAAGGUCAUCGCACAUUGAGGGGUUCUUGUUGGCACAGAGAGCAUAGACAUGGAAGCAGCACUGAAGCCUGUUUUCACUUUGUGGCCCUUGAAGUUGUUUCACAAGGAGCCGGCAUACAAGUUUAUAGCGUUGUACUCUUGUGUCAUUGA